rnacentral:rRNA from 1 species
UCUCGACUAUAAAUCAACUUGGUUUACCAGAGUACUAUGAAUAAAUAAAAUUUAAAACUCAAAGAGCUUGGCGGUGUUUUAGACCUUUCAGGGGAACCUGUCUCGUAAUCGAUAGUCCACGUUAAACCUAACCUUUUUUUGUAAAUCAGUUUGUAUACCGUCGUCGUCAGGUAACUUUUAAAAAUUUAUAAGUUAGCAGAUAAAACAUUAAAUAAGUUUAAACGUCAGAUCAAGGUGCAGCCAAUAAAAAGGUGAAGAUGGGUUACAAUUAUAAAAUUAUAAUAAUGAAUUGAUCAAUGAAAUUUUUUCUUGAAGGAGGACUUGAAAGUAAAGUAUAGAUAUUAUAAAAGAUAUUUGAAUAUGGCUCUGAAACGUGC